rnacentral:rRNA from 1 species
UACAGAGGGUGCGAGCGUUGUUCGGAAUUAUUGGGCGUAAAGGGCGCGUAGGCGGUGCGGUAAGUCACCUGUGAAAUCUCCUGGCUCAACUGGGAGCUUGCAGGCGAAACUGCCGUGCUGGAGUGUGGGAGAGGUGCGUGGAAUUCCUGGUGUAGCGGUGAAAUGCGUAGAUAUCAGGAGGAACACCGAUGGCGAAGGCAGAUCUCUGGGCCGUAACUGACGCUGAGGAGCGAAAGCGUGGGGAGCGAACAGG